GACGAACGCUGGCGGCGUGCCUAAUACAUGCAAGUAGGACGCAGUUGCGAACGGGUGAGUAACGCGUAGGUCACUGCCUAUUAGAGGGGGAUAACUAUUGGAAACGAUAGCUAAUACCGCAUACUAGUAGAUGGACCUGCGUUGUAUUAGCUAGUAGGUCGGGUUAUGGCCUACCUAGGCGACGAUACAUAGCCGACCUGGGAGGGUUGUCCGCCACACUGGGACUGGGACACGGCCCAGACUUCUACGGGAGGCAGCAGUGGGGAAUCUUCGGCAAUGGGGGGAACGCUGGCCGAGGCACGCCGCGUGAGUGAAGAAGGUUUUCGGAUUGUAAAGCUCUGUUGUUAAGGAAGCGGUACUUAACCAGAAAGGAACGGCUAACUACGUGCCAGCAGCCGCGGUAAUAC
rnacentral:rRNA from 1 species